AUGGGGUAUGGCUUUUCCUGGUUGGUGGACAAGCUUAUACUUGUAGGCUGCAAGGAAUUCCGACCACCGGAAGAGUCCCUCCAUCUCUCCUGCCAAGUCUCGGGCUUCACCUUCCACAACCAUGAGAUGAGCUGGGUGAGACAAGCUCCAGGGAAAGGCCUUGAAUGGUUGGCCAUAGUAUAUAUAUGGUCUUCAGAUAUUUACUACUCUGACAAAGUGAAGGGCCGCUUCACCAUCUCCAAGGACAUUGCCAAAAGCCAGCUGUAUCUGCAGAUGAUCAGCCUCAAACCAGAGGAUACGGCAGUCUAUUACUGUGCAAGACAUACA